UGACCCUUAUUAAAGCCGAGGGUCACCUAGCCAACUGACGUUGUUAGUGAACCCGAUUUGUUCACAAAAAAUAUAAGCCAAUCGCCCUAUUGCGGUUGGCUAUUUUUUU
rnacentral:sRNA from 14 species